rfam:Hordeum vulgare subsp. vulgare, WGS project CAJW01000000 data, contig: morex_contig_60849
AUGGUACUCCCUCCGUCCGGAAAUACUUGUCAUAGAAAUGGAUGUAUUUAGAUGUAUUUUAGUUCUACGUACAUUCAUCUUUAUCCAUUUGUGCGGCUAGUAAUUCCGGAUGGAGGGAGUAUAUA